CAAUGCUGAGCCCAGUCAGUCAUCCAGUCAGAGUCAUACACAGCUUUGGAUUUCCAGGAUGCUGACCUCCAGAUGGAAUCUGAUGUGUAGGAGGCUAUAGAGCCUGUUACUUGCAGACCAUGUGUAGCAAACAGCACUGGCCUGUCUCAAAUAACUACAUGCAACAUGAUACACAAAACAUAAUUUGUUUAAGCCUUGCUGUGCUAUAUUGAUGGACUACUUGGGACUUAGGAUUCAGAAGCACAGGUCGGGUCAGCACCAGCCAGCUUCCAACACAACAUGGCAUUUACCUCCAUCGCACAGAGCUACGCCCUGAAGCACAGGCUGCACACGUCUUUUUUGUUUGCGUUAUCAGUGCAUAUUCACCCUCCAGCCUUGGCAGUGUUGCUGAUACGUGGAAAAUUCCGGAAUUAGAAUUCAAGAGAGAUAGAAGACAACUUGAAAAAAAAAUGAUUUGAUUACUUGGUUGCCAUCCACAACGUGGAUGACCAGUGCAGUAGCGUGAUGCUUGGAAUAAACACACACACACACACACACCAGCUCACUCCCACACACACACACACACUCA